rnacentral:rRNA from 1 species
AUUGAACGCUGGCGGCAGGCCUAACACAUGCAAGUCGAACGAGUGGCGGACGGGUGAGUAGUGUCUGGGAAACUGCCUGAUGGAGGGGGAACACUACUGGAAACUGUAGCUAAUACCGCAUAACCUCGGAUGUGCCCAAAUGGGAUUAGCUAGUAGGUGGGGUAACGGCUCACCUCGGCUACGAUCCCUAGCUGGGCUGAGAGGAUGACCAGCCAAACUGGAAAUGAUACACGGUCCAGACUCCUACGGGAGGCAGCAGUGGGGAAUAUGGCACAAUGGGCGCAAGCCUGAUGCAGCCAUGCCGCGUGUAUGAAGAAGGCCUGCGGGUUUUAAAGUACUUUCAGCGGGGAGGCGUUACCCGCAGAAGAAGCACCGGCUAACUCCGUGCCAGCAGCCGCGGUAAUAC